GGAAGUCUUCGGCAAUGGACGAAAGUCUGACCGAGCAACGCCGCGUGAGUGAAGAAGGUUUUCGGAUCGUAAAACUCUGUUGUUAGAGAAGAACAAGGGUGAGAGUAACUGUUCACCCCUUGACGGUAUCUAACCAGAAAGCCGCGGCUAACUACGUGCCAG
rnacentral:rRNA from 1 species